UGCUGAGCCUCCACUCCUGCUUGCUCUCCCAAGAGGAACUAAUCCACUCAGGACUCUGAAAACUUGUUUCCAGCUCCUACCUCUCCCCCAGCUCUGGGUUUUAAGUAUCCACUGAGCUUGGUCCUCUCACACUCGGUCAUAACACACAGAGGAUAGAGCCUUUUCCAGCUAGAGACAGCCUGUGAGCUUGUCUGAUGGCAGCAGCGGCAUCAGGAAGACUGUGGCGGUGGCAGCUUCAGAUGUCAGCACGGGACAGGAGGAGUGUGGCCAAGGAAUCAGGUCCUUCAGGAGGGAACUAUUCUUCUGGCACCCAGGCAGGUCCCUGGAAACCCCCAGGUUGGCUCGGCGCCACCCAGGUCGGCACAGCCCAGGCCUCGCAGAGCACAGCAAAUGCCUCCCCGACAAGGCUGCGCCCGAAGGUGG